AAAAUACAAAGGUCAUCUACCCACAUGAGAGGAGAUGCCUUUUUUUGGAUCCAUUGGGGGAAUCUAAAAGGAACAUUCAGAGAUGCCUGGAGUCAACAAGGGCCUUUAUGCGAAAGAAAGACUGCAAUGUGACAAGGUGGACAUGCAGCACUCUGGCCCAUGCACGCCAGCAAGAUGGCACAUCAUGUGGUGUCCUGGCCUUAAAAUUUGCAGAGAAAAUAUUGAAAGGGCAGCCAAUUAACAUUGAGACGCACCUUUCGGCUGUGAACAAUUUCAGACUGGAUAUUGCCACUAUUCUCCUUCAAGAAACAGAUGAUCUCAGCAAGGUCUGUCACAGCUGUGGGAUGGAGGAGAGCGAUAACCCUCAAUGGGUACGUUUUCACUGUGCAAUACAGUCAGGCUGUGAAAUAGCAGGGAGUAGAUAACAUCAUUAUUGUAGUAAAAUGGAAAAUGUAUUUUGGUGACAAUGCAUAAUGCGUAUGAGUUCAAACAGUGUACCUUCUGUUUUAAUGUGUUUGUGUACA